UGCAACUCGGCUGCAUGAAGCUGGAAUCGCUAGUAAUCGCAGAUCAGAAUGCUGCGGUGAAUACGUUCCCGGGUCUUGUACACACCGCCCGUCACACCAUGGGAGUUGGGAAUGCCCGAAGUCAGUGACCCAACCGCAAGGAGGGAGCUGCCGAAGGCAGGCUUGAUAACUGGGGUGAAGUCGUAACAAGGUACC
rnacentral:rRNA from 1 species